rnacentral:rRNA from 1 species
AGCAUAUCAAUAAGCGGAGGAAAAGAAACCAACAGGGAUUGCCCUAGUAACGGCGAGUGAAGCGGCAACAGCUCAAAUUUGAAAUCUGGCUACCUUUCGUAGUCCGAGUUGUAAUUUGUAGAGGAUGCUUUUGGUGAGGUGCCUUCCGAGUUCCCUGGAACGGGACGCCAUAGAGGGUGAGAGCCCCGUACGGUUGGAUACCAAGCCUCUGUAUAGCUCCUUCAACGAGUCGAGUAGUUUGGGAAUGCUGCUCUAAAUGGGAGGUAUAUCUCUUCUAAAGCUAAAUAUAGGCUAGAGACCGAUAGCGCACAAGUAGAGUGAUCGAAAGAUGAAAAGCACUUUGAAAAGAGAGUUAAACAGCACGUGAAAUUGUUGAAAGGGAAGCGCCUAUGACCAGACUUGUUUCUGGCAGUUUUGUUAGCCCUCUCGGGGGCUGAUUUACUCUGUCCAGUACAGGCCAGCAUCAGUUUGCUGUCGGGGAGAAAGGCUCUGGGAAUGUGGCUCCCCUCCUCUGGGGGGGAGUGUUAUAGCCCUCUGCAUAAUACCCUUUGGCAGACUGAGGACCGCGCUUCGGCAAGGAUGCUGGCGUAAUGGUCAUCAGCGACCCGUCUUGAAACACGGACCAAGGAGUCAACCUUAUGUGCGAGUGUUUGGGUGUAAAACCCCAGCGCGUAAUGAAAGUGAACGUAGGUGAGAGCUUCGGCGCAUCAUCGACCGAUUCUGAUGUUUUCGGAUGGAUUUGAGUAAGAGCACACAGGGUUGGACCCGAAAGAAGGUGAACUAUGCUUGUAUAGGGUGAAGCCAGAGGAAACUCUGGUGGAGGCUCGCAGCGGUUCUGACGUGCAAAUCGAUCGUCAAAUAUGAGCAUGGGGGCGAAAGACUAAUCGAACCUUCUAGUAGCUGGUUCCAGCG